CCUGGUGGCUCAGAGGGUAAAGCAUCUGCCUGUAAUGCAGGAGACCUGGGUUCAAUUCCUUGGUCAGGA
rnacentral:tRNA from 1 species